CCUACGGGAGGCAGCAGUCGAGAAUUAUUCACAAUGGGGGAAACCCUGAUGGUGCGACGCCGCGUGGGGGAAUGAAGGUCUUCGGAUUGUAAACCCCUGUCAUGUGGGAGCAAAUUAAAAAGAUAGUACCACAAGAGGAAGAGACGGCUAACUCUGUGCCAGCAGCCGCGGUAAUACAGAGGUCUCAAGCGUUGUUCGGAAUCACUGGGCGUAAAGUGUGCGUAGGCUGUUUCGUAAGUCGUGUGUGAAAGGCGCGGGCUCAACCCGCGGACGGCACAUGAUACUGCGAGACUAGAGUAAUGGAGGGGGAACCGGAAUUCUCGGUGUAGCAGUGAAAUGCGUAGAUAUCGAGAGGAACACUCGUGGCGAAGGCGGGUUCCUGGACAUUAACUGACGCUGAGGCACGAAGGCCAGGGGAGCGAAAGGGAUUAGAUACCCGAGUAGUC
rnacentral:rRNA from 1 species